rnacentral:rRNA from 1 species
AUGCCCUGGACCGCGGCGACUAGGUCGUUGAGGACGCCGGCCAUUGCCUCCUGUGUGAACUGCUGCGGCUGCGGGGGAGGUGACGGCGGCGGCGUAUGUUGGACGGUGGUCGGUGGCCGCCCGUGGCCUGGCGCGAUGCCGGGCGCCGGGAGGGUCGGCGCCGAGAGCGACGCCGUAGCGCCCGCCGAGAGCGAGGCCGUGACGCCCGGCGCGGAAGCGGCGGUGGUGGAGUUGAUGGGCAGCGGCGGUGGUGACGACGGCGGCGGAAUUGGAGGUGGCGAAGACAUGGUCGAAACCCGGGUACCUGAUACCAAAUUGGUAGGACUAGGGUUCCUACCGGCUCUACUCCGUAGGUUAUACGGGCAGAACAGCGAGGGUUGGGGGCGAGGGCGGCGGCUCCGGCGUGUUGGCGCCGUCGCGAGGGAGAAGAAGGGCGGCGGCGGCUAG